GACGAACGCUGGCGGCGUGCUUAACACAUGCAAGUCGAACGGAAAGGCCCUGCCUUUGUGGGGUGCUCGAGUGGCGAACGGGUGAGUAACACGAGAGUAACCUGCCCUGGACUCUGGGAUAACUUCAGGAAACUGGGGCUAAUACCGGAUAGGAGCUCCUGCUGCAUGGUGGGGGUUGGAAAGUGUCGGCGGUUGGGGAUGGACUCGCGGCUUACCAGCUUGUUGGUGGGGUAGUGGCUUACCAAGGCUUUGACGGGUAGCCGGCCUGAGAGGGUGACCGGCCACAUUGGGACUGAGAUACGGCCCAGACUCCUACGGGAGGGAGCAGUGGGGAAUAUUGCACUAUGGGUGGAAGCCUGAUGCAGCGACGCCGCGUGCGGGAUGACGGCCUUCGGGUUGUAAACCGCUUUCGCCUGUGACGAAGCGUGAGUGACGGUAAUGGGUAAAGAAGCACCGGCUAACUACGUG
rnacentral:rRNA from 1 species